UACAGAGGUCUCAAGCGUUGUUCGGAUUCAUUGGGCGUAAAGGGUGCGUAGGCGGCGCGGUAAGUCGGGUGUGAAAUCUCGGGGCUUAACUCCGAAACUGCAUUCGAUACUGCCGUGAUUGAGGACUGGAGAGGAGACUGGAAUUUACGGUGUAGCGGUGAAAUGCGUAGAUAUCGUAAGGAAGACCAGUGGCGAAGGCGG
rnacentral:rRNA from 1 species